rnacentral:tRNA from 1 species
UGGUACUUAGUUUAAAAUAAAAUAAGUGAUUUCGACCCACUAGACUGUGAUUUAAAUUCACAAAUACCAA